ensembl:lncRNA
UCUUCACCCUCUCUGAGUGGGGUGUUCAACACCUCCUACCCUGCCACCAACAGUCUGCAGAGCAUGUCCCCAGUGCUGUCUCCCCUAUCGCACAAGCUCCCCAGUCCUAAGCUCAACCACCGCAUCCUGCUCCUCUCUGACGUUGACGUUGGCCAGCGGACGGACAGUGACAGCCCCAUGACUGGAUCCGAAGAGGAGCCCAAAGUCACCACAGAGGUCAUAGAUAAGAAUGGCAACAAGCGGACCAUCACACGGCUGGACCUGAACCUCAGCAGACUACCAGGGACUUCCAAAUGGAAUUUAAAUGGCCUAUCUACGGCAACAGAGGAGGCCGAUAUCUGGAUGCUGGACGGUGAUGAUGCCAUCUCCCAGACCCAGGACUCCCUGAACUGUGUCUCCCGUCCCAAUCACCUGGACUUCCUCAGGAUCACGCCCCCAGAG